rnacentral:ncRNA from 2 species
UCAACACAAUCUGGAGAGUGGUAGCUUGUACCAACCAAACCAAACGCAAGCUUACCCACCGAAGGGAAGAAGAUCGCGCUGCUGUGUGAUUGAAAAUCUCAGGUCAAAGGACAGAUGGGGUGCU